CGGAUGGAGCCAAGUCUGGUGAGUAAGCCGCAUGCGAAAGUAUUUCCCAACUGAACGCUUCAAUCGUUUCCUUAAGUAUAUCCAUUCUUUAUUUGGCCCUUAGAAGGACAGGUAUCGUCAACAAAAUCGUAUCGCUAGAUAUUUUCGUUGUUUUGGGCAAAUUAACAUAUGGUGCUUAUCUCCUUAACCCUGCUAUUAUACUUUUGGCUUACUCUUUAAAUUAUUAUGUUUUCUACAUUAAUGUCGCCAUGUUGUAAUAAUGUUGUCAUAACGUUUGGCAUUUACUCCGUUACAAUGAUUGUUCGUAGCUUCAGUGCUUCUAUUCUGUUAUCCGCAACAAUCGAAAUGCCGUUUACAUCACUUCUGCGAUUAUUUAUUAGUGCACGAUGAAGAACGGAUGAAGUUGGUAGCAAUAACUUAGUCUGAGUCGUCCAAUUAGUAAACUUAUGACAGGAAGUUAGCAUUUCAAGUGUUCAGAUAUUGAAAAAUAUAUCUUUAUGGCAGUGAUCUCUGAACUUAACGUAAUUGAUUGUAUACUAUCAUUUCAUGGUUCGAUAUUCAUAAUGUUGUUUAAUUUAUUAAAAUACCAGGGAAGAAGGAUUAGUUAAGAGAAUCACCUGCGCAAAAGUUUUCCACGUUCCUCUAUAUUAGCGAGGAUAUUGUACAUAAGAAAGUGACUUGGAAGACGAAAAGAAGCUCAUAUGCAAACAAAUAUAGAUCACUGAAAGAGGAAAAAGUUUUUGCUGUGCGAGUACACGGCGACAUUUUCGCAGUUGUUUCUCUUUCCUAACACUGUCGUUUGCCUUGCAUGUUAAAAAAAAAGCCUUGGAGAACAUGAUAAAAAAUGCGUGGACAAUGUUGCAAGUUCACGUCACAAGAUCAUAAGGCAAGCAAAGAAUGAUCGAAACCUAAUCCAUUAUUCAGAAUUCAAAUGCACACAGAGUGUUCGAGACGCCGAGCUCGAAAGUCAUGUAGCUGCAAAAAUUAUUUGCUGCAAAGAAGAGAGGCUGACAAAGAUUAUUUAUCAGCAGAAUAACUGUCAGAGUGAAUUUAAACGGAUGGUAUAUAAAUUAAGUGUUUGAUGUGAUCGUAAGCGCAGACUUAUCCGAAAAGAACAUCCGAAGACAUUUCGGAUGAGACAAGACUGAUUGUACAAUUAAAUAUUUUCGAAUUCGCGAGGAUAGUUGAUUUAAUAAUGUCAUUGGUCAUUCCUCUAUUGCGAGUGGCGAGACCACUGCUACUGGUACCUGGGUUCCUCAGCGACUCGAAAAAUGCAUGCCGGAAUAAGAAGUGAUAAAAAGGGAGAAGAGGGAAGAGUCACAAGUCGCUGAUCAUUGCAGUAAACUGUUAAUUUCUUAAGCGAUAGAAUAAGUAUUCAAUGGCUUCAUAACGAAAUUAUUGCUAGGAGGGUCAAGAUCUUGUAGGUUCAACUACAAAAAUCUCGAAAAACGUAUCUAUAUAAAUGGACAAUAACACGAAUAUAGAAUAUAAAACAAAGUAUACUAAGAAAUUCUGCCCCGGUUUAUUAAAUUUAAUCUACAAUAAGGUAUGGACAUUAGCACGGAACACAGAUUGAACAAUACAGUAAGUUAGAAAUACCAAAUUUCAAAUAUGUCAGGGAUCAACAGGUUUCAUUGAAACUCUUCGCAGAUUAUUUCCGUAAGAAAGGAUCCUCAGAGCGUCGUUCUAGCAUAAUAUUUUGUUAUCUGGAUAUUACAUAAAACACAGAAUUUGAAUUUUAUUUUACAUUGUAUCGUACAACACGUACGAAUUUUAAACGCUGUGUAAUAUUUGACGAAAUAUUAACAAUGAUUAAUAACAUUCGUAACAGGCGAGUAUGUUCUACUUGACGAGACAUGGGAUCAACCGUCGAAAAGAUAAUAAAUGAUAUGGGGUGAAAGCAAAUAAAUGUCACGGAUAACUAUCUGGAAUACAGGAGUUUUAGAGCAUCAAUUAUCCAAACUAACUGCGAAAUAAACAAGUUUUUAUAAGCUGUUUUCAGACAAUUGAUUCGAGAAGAAUCAAAACUACGCGAAAUAUAGAAAAUAACACAAUCCGUUUUAGAUACAACGAAAUGAUUCCUUCCAAAAUAAAUGAAUGUAUUCCAUCUGUCUCGUUUUGUUCUAUCGCUCAUUUUAUUCCAAUCCAUCGCAUCUGCAUGUCUUCAUUCAUAUCAAUAUUGUCUGCAAAAAGAGUACAUGAAACUAAUUUGGCUCGCAUUGUCAUUUAUAUGGUUACAUGACAUAUUCUCAGAGCGUUUAAGUGUAGUUGGUACGAUUUUUCACGUUUUGCACAACAAAGGAAUUUCAAAUCAAAUCCAUUAUAAAAUCGUAAAACUCCCAUAACAUUGUCGCCAGCAAUUAAUAGAUAAUAAUACGACGCAAUAAAUUUUUCCUGUAACGUCUCUUAAAAGAUUCAAUUACCGUCUACAU